AUGGGGAAUAUUGCGCACUGGGGGAAGCCUGAUCCCGCCACGCCGCGUGAGUGAUGAAGGCCUUCGGGUUGUAAAGCUCUGUCAGGGGGAAAGAAAGGGGCCAUUCAAUACAGAGGUUUUGACCUUCGGGGGAAAAAACCCCGGUAAAAACCUG
rnacentral:rRNA from 1 species